GCCUGUGCUACUUUGACUGAUAUCUACACAGCUAAGCUGACUUGAAAGUUUGUGAGAAUGGAGUGCAACUAUAUCUUGAUCCUGAUCCUGAUCCGUGGAGGUAUCCAAAUACCAAUAUCAACACAACUCUGCCAGUCUACAUUGCUCAAGCAGUAGUUCUCUCAGUGGUGUUUCCACUGAGCUUUGUUGGGACGGUGUUGAAUAUUGUGUUUAUUUGUCGAAGGAAGACUAACUUUCUAGUAAGAAGGAUAGUCUACAUGACUGUCAUCACUACACUACAGCUUGGAGUAUUAUGGCUUUGGAGCAUUCCUGCAUUCAAACCAGAUGAGUCAAUGUUCAACUUUUGUGACACAGUUAAACUUGUGUACAUCAUUGUGGUAGAUAGUGGUUUACUGUUGAUUAUAGCUCUACUGGUCUGCUCUAUCUACUUUACCCUGGUAACGAAACUGUGUGGUUGUUUCUCAACAGUACAAAACCAUACAGUUAAAACAACAUUUCCUAUCAAGCUUAUUAGUACUAGUGCAGGUGGUAUGAUUAAAGUAAUCAUUUGCAGAGUACUAGUGAUGUGCAGAGUGAAGCUUAUUUCGAUACAUAUAUAUGCCAGCACACUAAACACCAACCCGGCAAGCAAUGUUAUCACAACAAAUAUAUAUUCCAAUAGCAAACGCGAUCGAUCGCUCCAAGGACGCCUUCUUGAGAAAAGUAUACUUUUCAUUUGUACUAACUUACAGGAGCUAGACCAGUCUCUUCUUUGCUAGAGCGGCCCUUCUUGUCAAAAAUUGUGAUUUUGCUCCAUUUUGCUGCUCUUUGCCCGUUUUGCUGACGUAAGCAAUGAUAUUCAUUGAUUUGUGACAUCACAAAUCAUCUUGUCUUUAUUUGCUACAUCCAAGCUCAUGUGAUCUCUAACCUGGCAACUACACCCAGUUGUCAGUCAUAAUGUGUCACAGGGGCGUGGCAAUUUACACUAACAGAAACCGUGAAAAUCAGCUAAAAUCACCAUUUUUUUGGCAAGAAGGGCCGCUCUAGCAAAGAAGAGACUGGUCUAGCUCCUAACCUACUAACAGCCUGCAUUUCCGCUGGAGCUCAAAAGAUGUGCAAGGUAAUGAAGUACUUGCACAACAAAUUUCAGAUCUUAACUCAAACAUAAUAAGAUAGUUUCAUGUCUAACAUAUUUUCCAAUGUACACAUAUUCUAGCAGCCAUUUUGGAAUGAUGAUGUCAUAUGAUGUAACAGGUGGUGGUCCACUGGAAGCGCCAAUAGUUGAACUUUCAGUACCUGCACUCAAAUUGAUCCAAUCACAUUUAGUUUAGAAGAUAUACACAAAAACGUAAAAAAACAAAAGUUCUACUCUCUUUGGUUGUUGCACUGUACACAGCUAAGCUGACUUGACAGUUUGUUAGAAUGGAGUGCAGCUAUCUUGAUCCUGAUCCUGAUACAUGGUAUUCAUAUCCUACAAACAUCAACACAACUCUGCCAGGUGUCUACAUUGCUCAAGCAGUAGUUCUCUCAGUUGUGUUUCCAUUGAGCUCUGUUGGGAUGGUGUUGAAUAUUGUGUUUAUCUGUCGAAGGAAGACUAACUUUCUAGUAAGAAGGAUAGUCUACAUGACUGUCAACACUACACUACACCUUGGAGCAUUAUGGCUUUGGAGCAUUCCUGCAUUCAAACGAGAUAAGUCAAUGCUCAACUUUUGUUACCACGCUAAAGAUGUGUACAUCAGUCUGGCAAAUAGCGGUGGAAUGUUGAUUAUAGCUAUACUGGUCUGCUCUAUCAACUUUACCCUAGUAACAAAACUGUGUGGUUGUUUCUCAAGAUGGCGUCCUUAGAGUAAUCGAUCGCGUUUGCUAUUGGAAUUUAUAUUUGUCAUGAUAACAUUGCUUGUUGGGUUUGUGUUUAGUGUGCUGGGAUAUUAUUUAUAUAUCGGAAUAAACUUCGCUCUGUACUUCAUUCUCAUUAUUAUAGCCAUACCAUCUGCACUAGUACUAAUAAGCUUCAUAGGAAAUUUUGUUUUAACUAUAUGGUUUUGUAUUCUAUGGAGAAGGCAAAUUGCAAGGAGAAGAGAUGUACUGAAAGAAAUAGGAAUAUUUUUUGCUCUAUUUUUCUUUACUCUGUUUGUGAUUGGAAUGGAUAUUUCUGGUGGGUUUAAUUAUAUUCCGCCUGCCAUAGUGAUAACACAGAUAGUCAUAUCUUCUUUUCUAUCGUGUUUCCCAUUGCUAGUUUUUGGCUACAUGUGCUACAGUUUUCAUAGCAGAACAAGACAUGUGAGGUUUGCCAACAGAGCAGAUAUCGAGACGGCUGGUCCAGGACUACAAACUGCUCCACCCUCCACUAGAGUCAGCCUACCUACGGAUACAGCCGAUCAUGCUCCCAACUUCCUGAGCCCAAGUACAGCUGAGCCUUCAGAAGUGACGCCAUUGAUAAACUAUAAAUCAGUGACUUGAUUUAUUUUGCUAUUUAUUUUAUAUAUAUAGUCUAGAGAGUAAAAAAAUUUACAUUUUCUUCUACUGGUACAUAAAUGUGAACAUUUUGUGAUUGUCACAGAG